rnacentral:rRNA from 1 species
AUUGAACGCUGGCGGCAUGCCUUACACAUGCAAGUCGAACGGCAGCGGGCCUUCGGGUGCCGGCGAGUGGCGAACGGGUGAGUAAUGCAUCGGAACGUGCCAUUGAGUGGGGGAUAACGUAGCGAAAGUUGCGCUAAUACCGCAUAUUCUGUGAGCAGGAAAGCAGGGGACCGCAAGGCCUUGCGCUCUUUGAGCGGCCGAUGUCAGAUUAGCUAGUUGGUGAGGUAAAGGCUUACCAAGGCGACGAUCUGUAGCGGGUCUGAGAGGAUGAUCCGCCACACUGGAACUGAGACACGGUCCAGACUCCUACGGGAGGCAGCAGUGGGGAAUUUUGGACAAUGGGCGCAAGCCUGAUCCAGCCAUGCCGCGUGAGUGAAGAAGGCCUUCGGGUUGUAAAGCUCUUUCGGCCGGGAAGAAAUCGCACGGGUUAAUACCCUGUGUGGAUGACGGUACCGGAAUAAGAAGCACCGGCUAACUACGUG